rnacentral:rRNA from 1 species
AUGUAAAUGAGUAAGAUCCCUCAGAGACGAUGAGGUAGAUAGGUUCGAGGUGGAAGCAUGGUGACAUGUGCAGCUGACGAAUACUAAUCGAUCGAGGACUUAACUAAAUU